rnacentral:rRNA from 1 species
GAUGAACGCUGGCGGCGUGCCUAAUACAUGCAAGUCGAGCGAACGGACGAGAAGCUUGCUUCUCUGAUGUUAGCGGCGGACGGGUGAGUAACACGUGGAUAACCUACCUAUAAGACUGGGAUAACUUCGGGAAACCGGAGCUAAUACCGGAUAAUAUUUUGAACCGCAUGGUUCAAAAGUGAAAGACGGUCUUGCUGUCACUUAUAGAUGGAUCCGCGCUGCAUUAGCUAGUUGGUAAGGUAACGGCUUACCAAGGCAACGAUGCAUAGCCGACCUGAGAGGGUGAUCGGCCACACUGGAACUGAGACACGGUCCAGACUCCUACGGGAGGCGGCAGUAGGGAAUCUUCCGCAAUGGGCGAAAGCCUGACGGAGCAACGCCGCGUGAGUGAUGAAGGUCUUCGGAUCGUAAAACUCUGUUAUUAGGGAAGAACAUAUGUGUAAGUAACUGUGCACAUCUUGACGGUACCUAAUCAGAAAGCCACGGCUAACUACGUGCCAGCAGCCGCGGUAAUACGUAGGUGGCAAGCGUUAUCCGGAAUUAUUGGGCGUAAGCGCGCGUAGGCGGUUUUUUAAGUCUGAUGUGAAAGCCCACGGCUCAACCGUGGAGGGUCAUUGGAAACUGGAAAACUUGAGUGCAGAAGAGGAAAGUGGAAUUCCAUGUGUAGCGGUGAAAUGCGCAGAGAUAUGGAGGAACACCAGUGGCGAAGGCGACUUUCUGGUCUGUAACUGACGCUGAUGUGCGAAAGCGUGGGGAUCAAACAGGAUUAGAUACCCUGGUAGUCCACGCCGUAAACGAUGAGUGCUAAGUGUUAGGGGGUUUCCGCCCCUUAGUGCUGCAGCUAACGCAUUAAGCACUCCGCCUGGGGAGUACGACCGCAAGGUUGAAACUCAAAGGAAUUGACGGGGACCCGCACAAGCGGUGGAGCAUGUGGUUUAAUUCGAAGCAACGCGAAGAACCUUACCAAAUCUUGACAUCCUUUGACAACUCUAGAGAUAGAGCCUUCCCCUUCGGGGGACAAAGUGACAGGUGGUGCAUGGUUGUCGUCAGCUCGUGUCGUGAGAUGUUGGGUUAAGUCCCGCAACGAGCGCAACCCUUAAGCUUAGUUGCCAUCAUUAAGUUGGGCACUCUAAGUUGACUGCCGGUGACAAACCGGAGGAAGGUGGGGAUGACGUCAAAUCAUCAUGCCCCUUAUGAUUUGGGCUACACACGUGCUACAAUGGACAAUACAAAGGGCAGCGAAACCGCGAGGUCAAGCAAAUCCCAUAAAGUUGUUCUCAGUUCGGAUUGUAGUCUGCAACUCGACUACAUGAAGCUGGAAUCGCUAGUAAUCGUAGAUCAGCAUGCUACGGUGAAUACGUUCCCGGGUCU